UUAUUUUUGAUUAAUUUACGAUAUACAAAAGUGUUGUGUUUUACAUCUACAUUUACAUUUAAGCCUACAGCAUACAUUAUCCUUUUCUACUUAAACAUAAUCAUUUAUACAAUUGAAAUUGAUUUGUUAGAGAUUAAACUAAAUACGGGGAAAAAGCGUAUAUAAAAGCCCAAUAAGUGGAUAGAUAGGUCUAAUAAAUCAGUAUACAUAUAUACAAUACAUAAACACUUUAUGUAUUGUAUAUAUGUAUACUGAUUUAUUAGACCUUAGAGUAAAUAUAAAAUUAAAACUAACUUAAAAUUAACUACUGGCUACUGCUGCUUCGGCUUGAUAGAUUUAUACAUAUAUAUUGCGUACAUUAGCUUAGCAUAAAAACUUUUCCACACACGACUGCCACACGACGUGCAGUUUCGCUUGGCAGUUAUCGACAGCCGAGGCCCACUGUGUCGUCUGGCCAGCUUUGACGCUGCUGUUGGUUGUUGCUGCGUUUCGGCUCGGUUCGAUUCGUUUCAGUCCACUUUAAGCUUCCGGCGCAGGCGGUUGAGUUCGGUGCUCGGUUCGUCAGCUCUCGCUUCGAGCAAGUGGAUGAGAAUCAUGCCAGGGCUAGGGCAAAGAGACUAACAAAACGCAACGCAAACCAAAUACACAAUAAUCUAAUUAACAAAAAAAAAAAAGAAAGGCAAC